GAUAUAACAUCAUGCCUGUAUCGCACAUGUUUUGAGACGCUGUCUGUUUGUCUGUGGGCACUGGAUUGCUGGCGUUUGGAUUUUUCUCCCGGAUCAUUCGUGGGGUUGUGACUAAAACGUGAAGGAGCAGUGUUGGUGGUGUGAGCCUGGCAACGAGGUGAGAUUGUAUGCUGAGUGGAGCAAACGGAAGGGAGCAAGGAGCAGACUGCUCAGUUCAUAAAACAAUGGGGGGACAAUGACUGCCUGUUCACCGGGGCCAAAAAUUCAGCCAGUGUAGCUUGGAGGACAAUUCUGGAGAAAAUGGGUCUGCUGGGGAAGGUGACUCCCUUGCAGGCUAAAAAAAAUAAAAAAUAAAAAAAG